AUCCAUCUGUCAAGUCCCAAAUAGGAUGAAACGCACGUCCUGGAU
rnacentral:hammerhead_ribozyme from 1 species